UGGGGAAUUGUUCACAAUGGGCGCAAGCCUGAUGACGCAACGCCGCGUGGGGGAUGAAGGUCUUCGGAUCGUAAACCCCUGUCGAAUGGGACGAAAGACUCGCGAGUGAAUACUUCGCGAGAGUGACGGUACCGUUAAAGGAAGCCACGGCUAACUCUGUGCCAGCAGCCGCGGUAAUACAGAGGUGGCAAGCGUUGUUCGGAAUUACUGGGCGUAAAGGGCGCGUAGGCGGCCUUAUAAGUCUCGUGUGAAAGCCCUCGGCUUAACUGAGGAUCUGCACGGGAUACUGUAAGGCUCGAGUUCGGGAGAGGAAAGCGGAAUUCCGGGUGUAGCGGUGAAAUGCGUAGAUAUCCGGAGGAACACCAGUGGCGAAGGCGGCUUUCUGGACCGACACUGACGCUGAGGCGCGAAAGCUAGGGGAGCAAACGGGAUUAGAUACCCGGGUAGUCCCUGAGCGGGCUGGCAAGGCG
rnacentral:rRNA from 1 species